AAGACCAAAGGUAUUUCAGGUCUCCCGGGUCCUGUCUCCGUUGGAAGCUGGCUAUGGGUUGUGUUAACUCCACCAACUCCAACUUUGGAAAGAAAAAGGGACAUGUCAACAGACAGCAAAUAAACAAACAAAAACAAAACUGAGACGCGCUCUCCAGAGGAAAACGGGAAGCAAGUUGGGGCCGGAUGCCCUUCGACUGACUUUGAGAAGUAAGAACAGUAACAACAGUCACCGAGCUGGUACUUAACAUACCUCAUUUCAUUUAACCUUCACAACAGUUCCAGGAGUCGCAGAGAGAUCACCCCAGCUCACGUGCGCAGAUCACCGGGCCUCAUUAUGUGCCAGGCACUAGGACACAGCAAUAAACAGGUCUCCUGAUGGCCACAGGCACAGAAGGGAAGCCCCCGAGUCUGGGCUCCCCAGUAUGGCAGUCACCAGUCACAUGUGCCCUGGGAGCUCCUAGAUGUGCUGUAAGACUUAGGACCAGAAAAAAAAGAAGGGAGGAGCACCAAUUAUUGUUCCAGUCAUUUAUGCAUUCAUUGGUUGAUUCUCCUAUGCGCCCUGGCCAGGGAUGGAACCGCCAACCGUGGUGAUUCAGGAUGAAAUGCUAACUGAGCCACCCGGCCAGGGCUAAGUCCUUUUAGUGAGGAGGCUAGGGGGAAAGUCAAAGAUUCUUUCUGAUCUUUUGUUUCUUAACCAGCUUAAAAUAACCAGGAUCCCACAAGGUGUAUUUUGGGUGGCAAACUCUGCUUCCUCUCCUGGCCAGCAGCCGGGGUGACUACCUGGAUUUGUGAUUCGUGUUUGAAUGUGGGGGAGGGGCAGCCUGGUGGGACGGAGUCCUUAACUUGCUAUCUCCGGGUAGACAGUGUCCAAAUUGAGUUAAACGCAUAGGACAACCCUUUCGGUGUCUGCUGAGAGCUGGAGAACUGUUUGGUGUGGGGAAAACCCCACACAUUUGGUGAGCAGAGGCUUCAGGCGUGGAGUAUUGUAUGGAGCACAAAGGAAAACAAUAGAGUUUUCUAUUUCUCCUGGACAUCGCUGGUCGGAAACCACGGAAGAAUCUCGCCACAAACGCCGCAGGAGGCAACCGGUACCCGCUGGACCCACCAGCUUACCAGUUCCCCGGAAGGCUGGUCAGAGGAAGCUGUCCCGACCUGUUGCCUAGUGAACCAGUGGCCGUGAGUCAGACUCUGGACUAUGGAGCUGCAACCAGACUGCCUCCGGGUGUGGCCAGGCCUCCGGGACGUGAUUCACAUCACAUCAGGCCGGCAGCACUGCCUUGUGGUGCCGCUGACCGCUUCCUCCUCCAGGCUCCUGGCCUCCCUAAGGAGACAGGGACGAAAUUCACCAAAUCCCAUUUCCUGUCUCUUCCUUGGCAUCUUGCCUGGAGGUCCUCCUUCGUCAACAUUAGUCUGUCCAUCCCCUCCUGGGAGCUCUGGCCUCCGCCCAGGCCACCUGCCUGGACUGCCCGAGCCUCAGAACCCGUCCCCAGCCUUCUAGUCUGUCCCCCCGCCCCCACCGGCACCAGGGUGCUCUCUCUGGAACAGCAUCAAGCCGUGAGGCCCUCAGACAAAACUCCAGUUUGGCUGACAGUGUUAUUGGGGAGUGCAGGGCGGGGGGAGUGUGCGUUUGCAGAUCUUUCUCUUCUACGUUUUCUGUUUCCAUGUUGAUGGACUUUUUCACUGCGGACUGGACUUAACAUUUGCAAUCAGAAAAAAGAUAACAGUUAGAAAUACCCCUAAGGCACGCGCCUUAUAUAUGCGAGAGCAGUUCAGAAAGGGCGCCCAGGAAACAGACUGGGCAUGGUUGCUUCUGGGGAGAACUGGGCAGUCAAGGGUGAGAGAUGAGAAAGAGAGUAAGAUUGAAUUUACCCUGGGCCAAAUGCCUCCAAUUAAAUAGUAAAGCCCAACUCUUCCUAGAUAAAGUCCAUCUCUCCUUAGCCUGGGGAAAUGGGCUUUGACUGCCUGAUCCCUUCCACCCCACCCACACCAGCCAACCUGUGUCCUCUGACCCCACCCGUCUGUGCCUGGCCAGCUCCAGCACCUGACAUGGAGUCUCUCUGCCUAAGAGAGACCUCCCUUCCCCGGCCCCCCUCCCCCAAGGCCUGCUGAGCUAUCCUCUGCUAUCAGGCUCAUCUCAGCUCUGCUCAGAUCUGGCCUGGGUAAUUCUUAAUUGGAGGGAGGAGUGGUCCUGUGCAUUGUAGGAUGUUUAGAGGCAACCCUGGCCUCUGCUCACGAGCGCAGUAGCUUUCCUUGCCCCUUCCCCGUGGUGAUAACCAAAAAUGCCUUCCGACAUUGCCAAAUGUCCAAUGUUCCCUAGGGGGCAGAAUCGCUCUUAGUUGGGAAGCACUGAGUUAACACAAGCCACCAGUCCCUCCCUUCCCCACGGCAGCCUGCCAGCCAUGUGGCACUGAUCACACUGGUGCACAGUGAAUGCAUGUGUUUCUUUCUGCCCUGGCUGCUGACUACA